rnacentral:rRNA from 1 species
UUCCUACGGGAGGCAGCAGUGGGGGAUAUUGCACAAUGGGGGGAACCCUGAUCCAGCGACGCCGCGUGAGUGAAGAAGUAUUUCGGUAUGUAAAGCUCUGUCAGCAGGGAAGAAAGAAAUGACGGUACCUGACCAAGAAGCCCCGGCUAACUACGUGCCAGCAGCCGCGGUAAUACGUAGGGGGCAAGCGUUAUCCGGAAUUACUGGGUGUAAAGGGAGCGUAGACGGUGAUGCAAGUCUGGAGUGAAAGGCGGGGGCCCAACUCCCGGACUGCUCUGGAAACUGGAUGACUUGAGUGCAGGAGA